AGGGAGAUCACCUCAGGCGUACA
rnacentral:miRNA from 16 species